GACGAACGCUGGCGGCGUGCUUAACACAUGCAAGUCGAGCGGUAAGGCCCUUUCGGGGGCACACGAGCGGCGAACGGGUGGGUAACACGUGGGUGACCUGCCCUUAGCUCUGGGAUAAGCCUGGGAAACUGGGUCUAAUACCGGAUAUGACUCCAUGACGCAUGUUGUGGGGUGGAAAGCCUUGUGCGGCUAGGGGAUGGGCCCGCGGCCUAUCAGCUUGUUGGUGGGGUGAUGGCCACCAAGGCGACGACGGGUAGCCGGCCUGAGAGGGCGACCGGCCACACUGGGACUGAGACACGGCCCAGACUCCUACGGGAGGCAGCAGUGGGGAAUCUUGCGCAAUGGGCGAAAGCCUGACGCAGCGACGCCGCGUGAGGGAUGACGGCCU
rnacentral:rRNA from 1 species